rnacentral:rRNA from 1 species
UACGUAGGGAGCAAGCGUUGUUCGGAUUUACUGGGCGUAAAGGGCGCGUAGGCGGCGCGGUAAGUCACUUGUGAAAUCUCUGAGCUUAACUCAGAACGGCCAAGUGAUACUGCAGUGCUAGAGUGCAGAAGGGGCAAUCGGAAUUCUUGGUGUAGCGGUGAAAUGCGUAGAUAUCUGGAGGAACACCGGUGGCGAAAGGCGGGUCUCUGGGCCCGAUACUGACGCUGAGGAGCGAAAGCGUGGGGAGCGAACAGG